rnacentral:lncRNA from 1 species
CCUAUACUGCGCAUGCGCGGACUCUGAUCGUCUGAGUAAAGCAUUUUCUGGGAACAGGUCAGUCUCUCCCUGCUCCCAACACUCUCAGCCAUCCGAGGGGAGGGGGUUCUAUAUUAGGGGGGUUUCAGUGCAUUAUAUUGGGGAGUUAAAGUUAAUAUGCAUUUUAGACUUUAUAUUUAGAGGAUGUAAAAAAUAUAAAAGUCAAAUUUGGAAACUGGUUAAGAAAAGUCACACUGUGGUAUCCAAGAAGGAGAAAGUUCAAUCACAUGUAAAGAAAGGCUGUAUGGCAUUAGGAAGGUAGUAUCUUAAUAAUAUAAUGGUCUCUUUCCCUGGACGGUCCACGAGUCUUAAUCACUGGGGUCUGCGCUAUAUAGGGGGGUCUGCGCUCUAUAGGGGGGGUCUGCACUAUAUAUGGGGGUCUGCGCUGUAUGGGGGGGUCUGCACUAUAUAUGGGGGUUUGCGCUGUAUGGGGGUGUGCGCUGUAUGGGGGUCUGCGCUAUAUAUGGGGGUCUGCGCUAUAUAUGGGUGUGCGCUGUAUGGGGGCAGUGUAUUAUAUUUGGGGGCUGUGCGUUAGAUGGUGAGCUGUACAGUACGUGUGGCCUGUGUGUUAGAUGUGUACAACCCUAGUUUCACAGAAAAAUAUUUAUUUCCUAGAUAUCAUAUGCCAUGGCAUGCUUUUUGCUAUGAAACCGCAGCCAUCCAGUCACUCGCCAGAGAAGGAUGAGAAACUGCACCCCAGCGAGAGGGACAGCCCCACAUCUGCAACCAAAUCCGUCGGUCACCAAAUUCAGUAAUCUCCGUCUCUUUGUGCAUUGUGUAUGUAUGGUACUCCCAAUUCUUAUAUUUAAUCCGGUGUGUCUCCCACAAUCUUUGUGUCUGUCUGCUGUAUGUAUGUGGCACGCAAGUCUGCACGCACUGUGUCUGUUAUGCCAGUUACUCUAACCAGUUUAUUUCUUUUUGUGUGUGUCACAGCUCUGACAAGCAUGUUCUCCUAUGGGAUACGAAGUACAUGAAGAGGAAUGAAGAAGCCCAUGUUUGAUGCUCGUCUCCAGGGUGGAGUAUUGAAUUUAUAACUAAUGAAGUGGCAUCUGACACAUGACAAGCUGCUCCUGUUUGCACAGCAACAUUGUGUACUGUGACCACUGUCUAGUUCAGAGGUAGGUAACCUUGGGCAGUCCAGAUGCUGUGAAUUACAUCUCCCAUAAUGCUGGCAAACCAUUAUGGGAGGUGUAGUCCAAAACAUCUGGAAUACCGAAUGCGUAUGAAUGCAAAGUAUGGUGUGUAUGAAUGGUCAGUAACAAGGGUUGAAGCCUUGACGUGGCGUUACUGCUCACAUGUGUAUUCAUGUGCCAAUUCAACCAAUGUGAGUCACUGUAAUACUUAUAAGGUAACCAAAAGUACUAUGAUUGUGGAGAAUGAAACGCCUGUAUCAUCUACACACUGUUUACACCGUGACUGUAUCUCCUACACACUGCUCACACUGUGACCGUAUCUCCUAAACACUGCUCACACUGUGACCGUAUCUCCUAAACACUGCUGACACUGUGACCGUAUCUCCUAAACACUGCUGACACUGUGACCGUAUCUCCUAUACACUGCUCACACUGUGACCGUAUCUCCUAUACACUGCUCACACUGUGACCGUAUUUCCUAAACACUGCUUACACUGUGACCGUAUUUCCUAAACACUGCUCACACUGUGACCGUAUCUCCUAUACACUGCUCACACUGUGACUGUAUCUCCUAUACACUGCUCACACUGUGACCGUAUCUCCUAAACACUGCUUACACUGUGACCUUAUCUCCUAAACACUGCUUACACUGUGACCUUAUCUCCUAUACACUGCUUACACUGUGACCGUAUCUCCUAUACACUGCUUACACUGUGACCGUAUCUCCUAAACACUGCUCACACUGUGACCUUAUCUCCUAAACACUGCUUACACUGUGACCGUAUCUCCUAUACACUGCUUACACUGUGACCGUAUCUCCUCUACACUGUUUACACUGUGACCAUAUCUCCUAUACACUGCUUACACUGUGACCGUAUCCCAUAAACACUGCUUACACUGUGANNNNNNNNNNNNNNNNNNNNNNNNNNNNNNNNNNNNNNNNNNNNNNNNNNNNNNNNNNNNNNNNNNNNNNNNNNNNNNNNNNNNNNNNNNNNNNNNNNNNGGGGUCUGCGCUGUAUAGGGGGGUCUGCGCUAUAUAAGGGGGUCUGCGCCGUAUAUGGGGGUCUGCGCUGUAUGGGGAGGUCUGCGUAGUAUAUGGGGGGCUGCGCAGUAUAUUGGGGGGUCUGUGAAAUGUAUUGGGGUGGCCUGUGUGUUAAAUGUGGGGGGCAGUGUGUUAGAUGGAGGGGCUGUUUGUUACAUGUGGGGGGGCAGUGUAUUAUAUUUGGGGGCUCUGCGUUAGAUGGUGAGCUGUACAGUACGUGUGGCCUGUGUGUUAGAUGUGUACAACCCUAGUUUCACAGAAAAAUAUUUAUUUCCUAGAUAUCAUAUGCCAAAGCAUGCUUUUUGCUAUGAAACCGCAGCCAUCUAGUUACUCGCCAGAGAAGGAUGAGAAACUGCACCCCAGCGAGAGGGACAGCCCCACAUCUGCAACCAAAUCCGUCGGUCACCGAAUUCAGUAAUCUCUGUCUCUUUGUGCAUUGUGUAUGUAUGGUACUCCCAAUUCUUAUAUUUAAUCCGGUGUGUCUCCCACAAUCUUUGUGUCUGUCUGCUGUAUGUAUGUGGCACGCAAGUCUGCAUGCACUGUGUCUGUUAUGCCAGUUACUCUAACCAGUUUAUUUAUUUUUGUGUGUGUCACAGCUCUGACAAGCAUGUUCUCCUAUGGGACACGAAGUACAUGAAGAGGAAUGAAGAAGCCCAUGUUUGAUGCUCGUCUCCAGGGUGGAGUAUUGAAUUUAUAACUAAUGAAGUGGCAUCUGACACAUGACAAGCUGCUCCUGUUUGCACAGCAACUUCAACAUUGUGUACUGUGAUCACGGCAUAGUUCAGAG